GGUUGUAUAGUGUAGUGGUCAUCACUUCGGAUUCUGAUUUCACGGAUAUUCCGGCGACCCCGGUUCGAUCCCGGGUACGACCU
rfam:Chaetomium globosum CBS 148.51 scaffold_4 genomic scaffold, whole genome shotgun sequence.